CGCUAGCUACAGGCUUAACACAUGCAAGUCGCCUUGCAGCAUGGUCUUAGCUUGCUAAGACUGAUGGCGACCGGCGCACGGGUGAGUAACACGUAUCCAACCUGCCGUCUACUCUUGGACAGCCUUCUGAAAGGAAGAUUAAUACAAGAUGGCAUCAUGAGUCCGCAUGUUCACAUGAUUAAAGGUAUUCCGGUAGACGAUGGGGAUGCGUUCCAUUAGAUAGUAGGCGGGGUAACGGCCCACCUAGUCUUCGAUGGAUAGGGGUUCUGAGAGGAAGGUCCCCCACAUUGGAACUGAGACACGGUCCAAACUCCUACGGGAGGCAGCAGUGAGGAAUAUUGGUCAAUGGGCGAGAGCCUGAACCAGCCAAGUAGCGUGAAGGAUGACUGCCCUAUGGGUUGUAAACUUCUUUUAUAAAGGAAUAAAGUCGGGUAUGCAUACCCGUUUGCAUGUACUUUAUGAAUAAGGAUCGGCUAACUCCGUGCCAGCAGCCGCGGUAAUACGGAGGAUCCGAGCGUUAUCCGGAUUUAUUGGGUUUAAAGGGAGCGUACAUGGAUGUUUAAGUCAGUUGUGAAAGUUUGCGGCUCAACCGUAAAAUGGCAGUUGAUACUGGAUAUCUUGAGUGCAGUUGAGGCAGGCGGAAUUCGUGGUGUAGCGGUGAAAUGCUUAGAUAUCACGAAGAACUCCGAUUGCGAAGGCAGCCUGCUAAGCUGCAACUGACAUUGAGGCUCGAAAGUGUGGGUAUCAAACAGGAUUAGAUACCCUGGUAGUCCACACGGUAAACGAUGAAUACUCGCUGUUUGCGAUAUACUGCAAGCGGCCAAGCGAAAGCGUUAAGUAUUCCACCUGGGGAGUACGCCGGCAACGGUGAAACUCAAAGGAAUUGACGGGGGCCCGCACAAGCGGAGGAACAUGUGGUUUAAUUCGAUGAUACGCGAGGAACCUUACCCGGGCUUAAAUUGCAGAUGAAUUACGGUGAAAGCCGUAAGCCGCAAGGCAUCUGUGAAGGUGCUGCAUGGUUGUCGUCAGCUCGUGCCGUGAGGUGUCGGCUUAAGUGCCAUAACGAGCGCAACCCUUGUUGUCAGUUACUAACAGGUUCCGCUGAGGACUCUGACAAGACUGCCAUCGUAAGAUGUGAGGAAGGUGGGGAUGACGUCAAAUCAGCACGGCCCUUACGUCCGGGGCUACACACGUGUUACAAUGGGGGGUACAGAGGGCCGCUACCACGCGAGUGGAUGCCAAUCCCCAAAACCUCUCUCAGUUCGGACUGGAGUCUGCAACCCGACUCCACGAAGCUGGAUUCGCUAGUAAUCGCGCAUCAGCCACGGCGCGGUGAAUACGUUCCCGGGCCUUGUACACACCGCCCGUCAAGCCAUGGGAGCCGGGGGUACCUGAAGUGCGUAACCGCGAGGAGCGCCCUAGGGUAAAACUGG
rnacentral:rRNA from 1 species